ACACUACUCAUUUUUUUACUCUCUCCUAGAGUCUUUAUCCUCCCCCCUCUUUAUGGAUUACUUCUUUGUUAUUGGAAUGAGGUAUGAUAUCAGAUAGAUAAAUCUCAAUGCAGAAGUCCAUUUUUAGCAUACAUCCAAUAAAUGUCACUCUUUUCUCCAACAAGUGAACAGGAAAUGGGCUUUCCUUUGCCUCAGCACAUUCAAGA
rnacentral:lncRNA from 1 species